rnacentral:rRNA from 1 species
GAACGCUGGCGGCGUGCUUAACACCUGCAAGUCGAACGGAAAGGCCCUGCUUUUGUGGGGUGCUCGAGUGGCGAACGGGUGAGUAACACGUAAGUAACCUGCCCUUUACUUUGGGAUAACUUCAGGAAACUGGGGCUAAUACCGGAUAGGAGCUCCUGCUGCAUGGUGGGGGUUGGAAAGUUUCGGCGGUUGGGGAUGGACUCGCGGCUUAUCAGCUUGUUGGUGGGGUAGUGGCUUACCAAGGCUUUGACGGGUAGCCGGCCUGAGAGGGUGACCGGCCACAUUGGGACUGAGAUACGGCCCAGACUCCUACGGGAGGCAGCAGUGGGGAAUAUUGCACAAUGGGCGGAAGCCUGAUGCAGCAACGCCGCGUGCGGGAUGACGGCCUUCGGGUUGUAAACCGCUUUCGCCUGUGACGAAGCGUGAGUGACGGUAAUGGGUAAAGAAGCACCGGCUAACUACGUG